UAUUCCAGGCAAAGCCCUAGUGACGGAAGAACGGUAGAUCUUCUGAAUUUCGAGGGCAGUGAAGUAGGAGCGUAGCAGAGGGCGUACGAAAGACAACACUUCCAUGUUUUGCCGGACACGUCGGACUAUGGUCACCCUUUAGAGAUGGUUGGAAGGAAGAUUGAUACAGACAAAAGCAGCAUGAUUCAGGGCCACCACUGAGAUCUUUGGGGGUUUCCCAGAAGCGUGUGGUUGGGAACAUCAUGAAGGAAGAGACAGGAGCCGACCCGAGGAAGCGUGCGUGAGAAUAACGUGGAAGGAGCCCAUUGGUAGAUGCAGAAGGGCUGCUUUGGGAGGCCUGGAAACUGAGUUUUGGAAGGAUUCAGUAACGGCCGGCCACUCCGUGGGGCCUCUCUGUCCAGCCCGAGUCAGACCCUUCUCCACUGUCCAUGGUUUUGAAAGUCUUCCACACCGAGUGACCAGCCUAGAAAGCUCUUGCCGGCCGGUGAUGGAAGUGAGCUGGAGCAGUGGGAGAAGCUGGUAACUUCUCGGAAGCCAAGAUGACAAGAAUUGUUUUAAAUAAUCAGUAAGUGACAUUUCGUUAGCCCUCUGGAAGUCUUUGGUUUACUGGUGAACAUUCUCUAAGAGACAAUGGUGGAAAAGUGGCUCGAUCAGAUAGCUUAAAAGUCUGAAAGAGAAAAUGUUUAAAAAGUAAAUAUCCAAACACCUCAAAAUAUUGAUUCUAACAUUUGCACAGUUUUUGUGUGUUGGUAGCUGUGUCCUUUUACGUUGGGUGUCACAGCUGGGCAGACGUAACAUGAGUAAUUAAUGAAUCAAAGGAGGACUCCUUUUAUAUUAACUUGGGACUAGCCCUUUGCAAAUAGACAUUCUUGUUCCCGUUGGUUCAGUGAGCAGCACGGCUUACCGACCUCGGGUGUGCACGUUUUGGGAAGUCCCCAUGAAUAAACG
ensembl:lncRNA